AAGUUUUAUAGUUUAAAUUAAAAUAUUAAAUUGCAAGUUUAAAGAAUUAUUAAGACUUA
rnacentral:tRNA from 1 species